GCCCUCAGGUUCUCCUUCCCAUCAGAUCUCAACAUUGGUCUUGGUGGUUGCAAAGGAGGGAGAGCACGCUGAAGCUGGCCUCACAGCCUUGUAGCCUGGUAUAAGCAUGUGGGCUGGAUUCAAACAGGG
ensembl:snoRNA